GCCCGAUUGACGCAGUGGUAGCGUGCCGUUCUUAUACUCUCUAUCGCAUGGUAGUUUGUAUGAUAAGAUAUGCGGAAGCCGUGAGUUCGACCCUCACAUUGGGCA
rfam:Fungal sp. No.14919 DNA, contig: Contig0004.